ACUCGUUCUGCAGCCGGGCGUCCACAGGGCGGAUCGGGAGGCCAGUGUUCGGGCCGAGGAAGAAGAAGGCCAUCUCUUAGACUGAUCAUAAGCUUGCUGCCAUGCUGGAAAUGGAGGCUGGAUAGGCUUCUCCGGGCUACGCUUCUGGUCCGAAGAGGAGGUGUGCGUGGGUGACAGCAAAUGCAGGUUCUUCACGACUUCCAUUGGAGACGUUAGUUACUGGUAUCAGCAUACAUCUAAAGGUGCAUAUGGACCUUCUCCGUUGCAGAUUAUUGUUAUCCUGUACCAGACUGCGCCACAGUUGGAUUAAACGUAUCGCUGCCAUUACGAAAUAUUAGGAUGACACUGGCAGUUAGUGGUCCAUUUUCUAUAGAGGGUUUUCUCUACAGAACAAUGUUUGUUCACAUUCCAAGGGAAUUUCGUGGAUCGGCUCCGUUAUGCUCAGUUUCUAGGAGAGCACUGUGAGCUAGCAGUGUAUAUGGAACAUCGUUGGCAGGUCAGUUGAUAUUGACCAUUCUAAUGGUGGUGACCUGUGUACCUGUAUACUAAUUCAUUUCAGAUAUUCAGCAAACAUCCUCCGUCCAAUGCUCCCUUUGAGGGUUGGUUCAAGAAGUGGCUCUUAAUUUUUGGUGUUGGUGUCUUGCGAGAUUCAUUUAAUGUUCAGGAACAAAAUUUAUUUUGGCACUUGGUACACAUGGUUUUUUGCUCAU